rnacentral:rRNA from 1 species
AUACAGAGGGUGCAAGCGUUAAUCGGAUUUACUGGGCGUAAAGCGCGCGUAGGCGGCUAAUUAAGUCAAAUGUGAAAUCCCCGAGCUUAACUUGGGAAUUGCAUUCGAUACUGGUUAGCUAGAGUGUGAGAGAGGAUGGUAGAAUUCCAGGUGUAGCGGUGAAAUGCGUAGAGAUCUGGAGGAAUACCGAUGGCGAAGGCAGCCAUCUGGCCUAACACUGACGCUGAGGUGCGAAAGCAUGGGGAGCAAACAGGAUUAGAGACCCCCGUAGUCC